rnacentral:rRNA from 1 species
AAAUAUUCCUGUACCGAUGUGUAGUGCGAUGUGGGGACGGAGGAGGUUAGCUCAGCCAACUGUUGGAUAUGUUGGUUCAAGCCUGUAGUCGUGCCUGGUAGGCAAAUCCGCCGGGCUUAGAUGAGGGGUGAUAACGAGUCUGCUUGCAGACGAAGUGAGUGAUACCCAGCUUCCAGGAAAAGCCACUAAGCUUCAGCUACACACGACCGUACCGCAAACCGACACUGGUGCGCGAGAUGAGUAUUCUAAGGCGCUUGAGAGAGCUCAGGAGAAGGAACUCGGCAAAUUGAUACCGUAACUUCGGGAGAAGGUAUGCCCCAAGUAGGUGAACUCGAACAGAGGGAGCCCAACGGGGUUGCAAAAAAUCGGUGGCUGCGACUGUUUAAUAAAAACACAGCACUCUGCAAACACGAAAGUGGACGUAUAGGGUGUGACGCCUGCCCGGUGCUGGAAGAUUAAAUGAUGGGGUGCAAGCUCUCGAUUGAAGUCCCAGUAAACGGCGGCCGUACCUAUAACGGUCCUAAGGUAGCGAAAUUCCUUGUCGGGUAAGUUCCGACCUGCACGAAUGGCGUAACGAUGGCCACACUGUCUCCUCCUGAGACUCAGCGAAGUUGAAAUGUUUGUGAUGAUGCAAUCUCCCCGCGGAAAGACGGAAAGACCCCAUGAACCCUUACUGUAGCUUUGUAUUGGACUUUGAACAGAUCUGUGUAGGAUAGGUGGGAGGCUUUGAAGUGAUGUCGCUAGAUGUCAUGGAGCCAACGUUGAAAUACCACCCUGGUGUGUUUGAGGUUCUAACCUAGGUCCAUUAUCUGGAUCGGGGACAGUGCAUGGUAGGCAGUUUGACUGGGGCGGUCUCCUCCCAAAGCGUAACGGAGGAGUUCGAAGGUACGCUAGUUACGGUCGGACAUCGUGACGAUAGUGCAAUGGCAUAGGCGUGCUUAACUGCGAGACUGACAAGUCGAGCAGAUGCGAAAGCAGGACAUAGUGAUCCGGUGGUUCUGUAUGGAAGGGCCAUCGCUCAACGGAUAAAAGGUACUCUGGGGAUAACAGGCUGAUACCGCCCAAGAGUUCAUAUCGACGGCGGUGUUUGGCACCUCGAUGUCGGCUCAUCUCAUCCUGGGGCUGUAGCCGGUCCCAAGGGUAUGGCUGUUCGCCAUUUAAAGAGGUACGUGAGCUGGGUUUAAAACGUCGUGAGACAGUUUGGUCCCUAUCUUCCGUGGGCGCUGCAGAUUUGAGGAAGCCUGCUCCUAGUACGAGAGGACCGGAGUGGACACACCUCUGGUGUAUCGGUUGUCACGCCAGUGGCAUUGCCGAGUAGCUAAGUGUGGAAGAGAUAACCGCUGAAAGCAUCUAAGCGGGAAACUCGUUUCAAGAUGAGAUCUGCCGGGGCCUUGAGCCCCCUGAAGAGUCGUUCAAGACCAGGACGUUGAUAGGUCAGGUGUGGAAGC